AUUGAACGCUGGCGGCAGGCCUAACACAUGCAAGUCGAACGAGUCGCGCGAGUGUGAGAAGUGUCUGGGACACUGCCUGAUGGGGGGGGAUACAUACUGGAAACGGUAGCUAAUACCGCAACCCAUCGGAUGUGCCCAGAGGGGAUUUGCUUGUUGGUGGGGUAAAGGCUCACCUAGGCGACGACCCCUAGCUGGUCUGAGAGGAUGACCAGCCACACUGGAACUGAGACACGGUCCAGACUCCUACGGGAGGCAGCAGUGGGGAAUAUUGCACAAUGGGCGCAAGCCUGAUGCAGCCAUGCCGCGUGUAUGAAGAAGGCCUUCGGGUUGUAAAGUACUUUCAGCGGGGAGGCGUUACCCGCAGAAGAAGCACCGGCUAACUCCGUGCCAGCAGCCGCGGUAAUAC
rnacentral:rRNA from 1 species